rnacentral:rRNA from 1 species
UACAUGGGGUGCAAACGUUGCUCGGAAUCAUUGGGCGUAAAGCGCGCGUAGGCGGUUACUUAAGUUGGAUGUGAAAGCCCUCGGCUUAACCGAGGAAGUGCAUCCAAAACUGAGUAGCUAGAGUACGAAAGAGGGUCGCGGAAUUCCCGGUGUAGAGGUGAAAUGCGUAGAUAUCUGGAGGAACACCGGUGGCGAAGGCGGCAUCCUGGACCAAUUCUGACGCUGAGGAGCGAAAGCCAGGGGAGCAAACGGG